rnacentral:ribozyme from 1 species
UGCCCAGCAACUCCUAUCCCUACCUCCACGUGGUACCGGCCGGAAAUUUCACGAAGAUCGGGUAACCAACCCCGGUGGGAACUUUGGUCGUAGGCUGACAGGGAAGG